GACAGUUUGGCCGAGUGGUCUAAGGCGCUAGCUUCAGGCGUUAGUCCGCAAGGGCGCGGGUUCGAAUCUCGCAGCUGUCA
rnacentral:tRNA from 1 species